rnacentral:rRNA from 1 species
AUUGAACGCUGGCGGCAGGCCUAACACAUGCAAGUCGGACGGUAGCACAGAGAGCUUGCUCUUGGGUGACGAGUGGCGGACGGGUGAGUAAUGUCUGGGGAUCUGCCCGAUAGAGGGGGAUAACCACUGGAAACGGUGGCUAAUACCGCAUUACGUCGCAAGACCAAAGAGGGGGACCUUCGGGCCUCUCACUAUCGGAUGAACCCAGAUGGGAUUAGCUAGUAGGCGGGGUAAUGGCCCACCUAGGCGACGAUCCCUAGCUGGUCCGAGAGGAUGACCAGCCACACUGGAACUGAGACACGGUCCAGACUCCUACGGGAGGCAGCAGUGGGGAAUAUUGCACAAUGGGCGCAAGCCUGAUGCAGCCAUGCCGCGUGUAUGAAGAAGGCCUUCGGGUUGUAAAGUACUUUCAGCGGGGAGGAAGGCGGUGAGGUUAAUAACCUCGCCGAUUGACGUUACCCGCAGAAGAAGCACCGGCUAACUCCGUGCCAGCCGCCGCCGUAA